rnacentral:rRNA from 1 species
UUCCAGACUCCUACGGGAGGCAGCAGUGGGGAAUAUUGCGCAAUGGGCGAAAGCCUGACGCAGCGACGCCGCGUGAGGGAUGAAGGUCUUCGGAUCGUAAAGCUCUCUCAGCAGGGAAGAAAAUGACGGUACCUGAGUAAGAAGCCCCGGCUAACUACGUGCCAGCAGCCGCGGUAAUACGUAGGGGGCAAGCGUUAUCCGGAUUUACUGGGUGUAAAGGGAGCGUAGACGGCAGUGCAAGUCUGGAGUGAAAGGCGGGGGCUCAACCCCCGGACUGCUCUGGAAACUGUACGGCUGGAGUGCAGGAGAGGUAAGUGGAAUUCCUAGUGUAGCGGUGAAAUGCGUAGAUAUUAGGAGGAACACCAGUGGCGAAGGCGGUUUACUGGACUGUAACUGACGUUGAGGCUCGAAAGCGUGGGGAGCAAACAGGAUUAGAUACCCCAGUA